AGUGAACGCUGGCGGUAGGCCUAACACAUGCAAGUCGAACGGCAGCACAGUAAGAGCUUGCUCUUACGGGUGGCGAGUGGCGGACGGGUGAGGAAUACAUCGGAAUCUACUUUUUCGUGGGGGAUAACGUAGGGAAACUUACGCUAAUACCGCAUACGACCUACGGGUGAAAGCAGGGGAUCUUCGGACCUUGCGCGAUUGAAUGAGCCGAUGUCGGAUUAGCUAGUUGGCGGGGUAAAGGCCCACCAAGGCGACGAUCCGUAGCUGGUCUGAGAGGAUGAUCAGCCACACUGGAACUGAGACACGGUCCAGACUCCGACGGGAGGCAGCAGUGGGGAAUAUUGGACAAUGGGCGCAAGACUGAUCCAGCCAUACCGCGUGGGUGAAGAAGGCCUUCGGGUUGUAAAGCCCUUUUGUUGGGAAAGAAAAGCAGCAGGUUAAUACCCCGCUGUUCUGACGGUACCCAAAGAAUAAGCACCGGCUAACUUCGUG
rnacentral:rRNA from 1 species